rnacentral:rRNA from 1 species
GGUGCCCGAAAGGGAGCGGUAACACAGGUGCUGCAUGGCUGUCGUCAGCUCGUGUCGUGAGAUGUUGGGUUAAGUCCCGCAACGAGCGCAACCCUUGUCAUUAGUUGCCAGCAUUAAGUUGGGCACUCUAAUGAGACUGCCGGUGACAAACCGGAGGAAGGUGGGGAUGACGUCAAGUCCUCAUGGCCCUUAUGACCAGGGCUUCACACGUCAUACAAUGGUCGGUACAGAGGGUCGCUAAGCCGCGAGGUAGUGCCAAUCUCAUAAAACCGAUCGUAGUCCGGAUCGCAGUCUGCAAC